rnacentral:rRNA from 1 species
GACGAACGCUGGCGGCGUGCUUAACACAUGCAAGUCGAACGCGCCUGUCCUCUGGGUUUCUGGGGGGUGGGUGAGUGGCGAACGGGUGAGUAACACGUGAGUAACCUGCCCCCUUCUUCGGGAUAACGGUCUGAAAGGGCUGCUAAUACCGGGUAUUCACUGGUCUCCGCAUGGGGUCUGGUGGAAAGGUUUUUUUCUGGUGGGGGAUGGGCUCGCGGCCUAUCAGCUUGUUGGUGGGGUGAUGGCCCACCAAGGCUUUGACGGGUAGCCGGCCUGAGAGGGGGACCGGUCACAAUGGGACUGAGAUACGGCCCAGAAUGCUACGGGAGGCAGCAGUGGGGAAUAUUGCACAAUGGGCGCAAGCCUGAUGCAGCGACGCCGCGUGAGGGAUGGAGGCCUUCGGGUUGUGAACCUCUUUCGCCCGUGGUCAAGCCGCGACGUGGGUCGUGGUGAGGGUAGUGGGUAAAGAAGCGCCGGCUAACUACGUG